rnacentral:rRNA from 1 species
UGGGGAAUAUUGGACAAUGGGCGAAAGCCUGAUCCAGCCAUGCCGCGUGUGUGAAGAAGGUCUUCGGAUUGUAAAGCACUUUAAGUUGGGAGGAAGAGCAGUUACCUAAUACGUGAUUGUUUUGACGUUACCGACAGAAUAAGCACCGGCUAACUCUGUGCCAGCAGCCGCGGUAACACAGAGGGUGCAAGCGUUAAUCGGAAUUACUGGGCGUAAAGCGCGCGUAGGUGGUUAGUUAAGUUGGAUGUGAAAUCCCCGGGCUCAACCUGGGAACUGCAUUCAAAACUGACUGACUAGAGUAUGGUAGAGGGUGGUGGAAUUUCCUGUGUAGCGGUGAAAUGCGUAGAUAUAGGAAGGAACACCAGUGGCGAAGGCGACCACCUGGACUGAUACUGACACUGAGUGCGAAAGCGUGGGGAGCAAACAGGAUUAGAUACCCUGGUAGUCCACGCCGUAAACGAUGUCAACUAGCCGUUGGGAGCCUUGAGCUCUUAGUGGCGCAGCUAACGCAUUAAGUUGACCGCCUGGGGAGUACGGCCGCAAGG